rnacentral:tRNA from 1 species
GACGCGCUGGUCGACGGGGACGAGACGGCUCGGCUGCGUCUGGCCGGCAGGCCUGACCCGGCGCUGUUCCUGGCAGCUGCGCGUCGCC